UCCUCCGUGGCCUAAUGGCUAAGGCGUCCGACUGUUACUUAUAGGCACAUCGGGAGAUUGGAAGUUCGAUCCUUCCCGGGGGAG